UUUUCCUGGUUGACAGUUACUGGGUGCAACUUGAAUGUUCUCAAGCUUUGGGGAGUAAUGCAGGGUAAAAUUAUUGGGAGAGCAUCAUGUACUAAACUGUAAUUAAUUCACAUUUUUCAGGAAGUGAAUUGAUGUCUGCAAAGCUAUGAAAUAGGUCCCUACCUUAACACCUGUCCUUUUCUUCUACAGUCUGAGUUGCGCUAUCAAACUGGAGAUCCCUGAAGCACCCAGAAAAGGCUGGUGGUGCAGGAGGUUUGAUAGAUCCGUGUAGAUAGACAGCAAAGAUGAUUUCAGACUUUGCUAAAGCAUUUGCUGGAAUUUGAAGGAUACAGUACAAGUGGUUAGUUGUUAUUUUUCAAGUAAACUGGAAGCCCAUGAAAUAGCUAUGCAGUUCCUCAGAAGCUCUCUUCAGAGCAACUGGCGAGAGUUCUCAUAGGAGAUACAGAGAAGGUAGUCUUUUUUCUUACUGUUGUACCACUAGUCCAUAGAUUAUGAAUCUCACAUUAGGAAACCCUUGCUGGAAG
rnacentral:lncRNA from 1 species